AAAGUUUCAAGUAGAAAUUUCAAAACAUUUUAAUACUAUGGCUCAAAACAUAUUCAAGCUUGAGGUGUAUGCAUGUAUUCAAUGAAAUCAAAGCAAAACUAACUGUGAGAAGAACAUUAAAUUACUCGUGGUUUUUAUAGAAAACAUUCCAUUUGUUUUACAAGUUUCAAAUAUAAACAGCUCAAAUGCUCAUCAAUAAAAUAUGAAAAUUAUGUAGAUGCUUUUCCUCUCUAAAAUGAAUAGUCCAAUUGUUAAGUUAUUCCAGUUGUCAAUAUCAUUGUUAGAAGAAAAUCUCAGCUUGAAAUCAACCUAUUAUACAUCAAACUCCAAAAGAUUAUCAAUUUUAACCCAAUUUUAACAAGAUCAGGGAUCAGCACAAUGAUUAACAACAAAAAAAAGCACCGAGUGAGGUAAUGAGCACAAAAUCAAGAAACUUUAAUAAAAUCUAACAUCAGAAAAAAAGCAAGAACAAGCCAAUAACAGUUUAUCAGUACCAAUUUAGCAUCAAUCAAUAAGCCAGUAACAGAGUUCAUUAAUCAAGAACAGGCUAGAACAAGCCAGAGUAGUGAGCAAAGCCAAUCAACCAAGAACAAGCCAGUAACAGUUUAUCAGUACCAAUUUAGCAUCAAUCAAUAAGCCAAUGAUUAACAAGCUCAGCACAAUGAUUAACAAAAAAAAAAAAA